GGCAGGAAGUGAUAUGGCAUUUUUGAGCACUGGAGAAGGCGUUUCAGUAAACACAGAGUCAGAGGUGCUGUUUGCCCGCAGGAAUUCACUGUGGCCUUCACACUGGCUGGCAGUUUCUCCUUCAUUCCCAGAGAUUGCAUCACUACCCAGAAGGAUGACAUGUGUUUUCCCUUUGAGGCAUGUGAUCCAAGAAAGAUUUCUGAGAAUGUGUCUCUGGUUGGAUCCAAUACUGACAUAAAAACGGUUGAACUUCCAGUUAUAGUACAAUCCCUGUACCCAUGGGGGAUAUGUUUCCAGACUUACCGUGGAAACAAAAAACCAAGGAUAAUAGAGAACCCUAUUGAAAUGAAGUUGACCACAGAGUUUCUCCUAGAGAGAACACAUCUCUAGGCAUUUCUAGGUCUUCCAGAGCAACUCUAAGGUCAACUUCCACUGGAAGCAUAUCAUAGAAAUGUGCUGGAGGACCUUGAAAAUAUAUAGAGAACAUAUGUUUUCAGAAGUGGGUAAGUGAAAGUAUGGAAAGUCCUGCCGAUAUAGGGUUCAUACUGUUAAUAAAAUGUUUUAUGUUUUGCAAGCUUGCACAAAGAGACACCUGAUACUUCACUCUGUAAGCAGUUAUUGCUAUUCAUUCAUGCAACACCAAAUGCCAGGCAAUAUGUGCUUAGCUGAAGGCUUAGGCAUAGUUCACCCCCCCCCCACAAGCCAAGAUGGCCAAUGACUGGCCCAAGGAGGAGGUUGGAAGUUUCCAGCUGGCCUUGCAGGUUUACUGCAUGCUAGAACUCUUUGCCCCACCUGCAGCAAGGGGAGACUGAUCUUCUUUCCUUCCUGGGCCCUUCACCAUUAUUACUUUGGAUCUCAGUCUUUGUGUUCAUUUGCAACACUUGGAAUUUCAGUGCAGGAUGUGGUCUUUUUAUGGAAACCACAAAUACUGUUAAUUCUUGGUAAUGAUGCUUCACCCUAUUGAAAGCUGUUAGCUGAAACCUGAGCAUUUAGCCUUAUUUUGAACUAUGAGAGGAUUCCUUUCUCCCCAUUUUAGGGUGGCUAUAUAUCCUGCUUUGCAAAUGACAACCCUCUAUUUGAAAUCAUUCUCUCAGUUGAUACACUGUCUAGUCCUCAAGCCUAGUUUAAAGAUAAAGAA